CCGCCUGUCACGCGGGAGACCGGGGUUCGAUUCCCCGACGGGGAGGUUGUGCUGUUUUGUGCUCGGCGGUGGUGGUGCAAUGUGACCGAGGCCGUUACUUAGUGGGACGGGGAAGAACAUGCUUUCUCCAGGGAUCCUCACUCGAUCGCUAGUGAAUCUCUCUGCCGCCGACCGGGGCUGUAGCCCGUUCCCGGUCGAGGGAAGGUCUACUUCGGGUCGGGUUUGCAGGCCAUUCCCGGCAGGGACAGCAGCAGGACGCGGUGGGUGCCUGGGCAGCGGCUGGCUUGAUGGUGAGGUGUCCCGCGGGGGCAAUGGUAUGUGUUGUCCUCGUUAGUAUAGUGGUCUGCCAGUGGCUGACAUGGUAGAAAGAUGUGCUUUUCUAUUCCAUUUUUGUGAAGUUAGAGGCAGUGCCAAUUUAAAUUUUGACUGAGGCUCUGCAAUGGUGUGUUGAGGAAUUUUUGAAACAGCAAGGAGGCCAUGACUUGCUGCAGCUGAGCAAACCAAGAUACCAGGACGACUACGAGGAAUUCCCAUGACGAUGUUUUCUUAUCGCCCGACUGAGGAAUUAAAAAUAUUGUUGCAAGCAGCUGGCACUUCCUUCAAGGACUACACUACGUGACUGCUAAUCACAAAGGGGUUGUUUUCUUCCAGGUGGGGUUGUUUUCUUGCAGUUGUUUCUCUGAGUGCUUUCAACCAAUAAUCUUGUGUGAAACUCUAUCCGCCCCUGCUAAAUUUGCUAUAAGAGUCAGACUAUUUAGGUAAUAAAGAGAGAGCAUGAUA